GUGACCGUAGUUCAGUUGGUAGAACUCGAGAUUGUGAUUCUCGUAGUCGACGGUUCAAUCCCGUCCGGUCACCCCA
rnacentral:tRNA from 2 species